rnacentral:rRNA from 1 species
CUGGGGCUGGAGUAGGUCCCAAGGGUUGGGCUGUUCGCCCAUUAAAGCGGCACGCGAGCUGGGUUUAGAACGUCGUGAGACAGUUCGGUCCCUAUCCGCCGCGCGCGCAGGAAACUUGAGAAAGGCUAUCCCUAGUACGAGAGGACCGGGAUGGACGGACCUCUGGUGUGCCAGUUGUUCUGCCAAGAGCACGGCUGGUUAGCUACGUUCGGAAGUGAUAACCGCUGAAAGCAUCUAAGCGGGAAGCACGUUUCAAGAUGAGGUUUCCCACAGGGUCAACCUGGUAAGGCCCCCAGCAGAUGACUGGGUUGAUAGGCCGGAGGUAGAAGGCAGCGAUGCACGGAGCCGACCGGUACUAAUAGGCCGAGGGCUUGUCCCA